AAAAUUGAGAGACCAAAACAAAACGCAGGUCUUUUGAUUGUGUUCUUGGCGCAUCAAGUUCGUGAAAGAUUAGGAAUCGGUUUCAAGUCUCCGUCGUUUCCCAGUCGCCACUCAUCGUUCUCCGAUCGCCGCCGUCGUUUCUCCGAUCAAUUUUCACCGUUCUUCUUGAAGCCCAAACACAAUAAUUUUUUUAAUGCAAGUAAUAAUUCACACCAGGAAGAAGGAUUUUGGUCUUGUUUCGUGAUCACACUUCUGGGUUUUCAACCUUUCAGUGCCAGCGUUACUGGGGAAGAUUCCAGUUACUAUUUGGGUUCUAGGGUUUGGACUAGGGCUUAAUUUUGUGGUGGACAAGAUGCAAGGCAAUAAUACUACUGAGGCAUGCCGUUAUAAUAAGGAUGUUGGAGGCAACAUUGGCUUUGAUUUUGGCUACCAAAUUGAUGAGAGGCUUCAGGUCGCUCUGGGCCAUUUUAUAAAGGAGUUUGAAGGUGGUUAUAUUUCUGCUGAGUCUUUGGGUCCAAAAUUUGGUGAGUAUGGCUCCUUUAUGCCUACGUGGGAACGCUCUCCUAAUCUUCAAUCUCAUCCAAGGACUUCACAAAGACAUCCAAAAUCUCCUAGUAAUCUCCACUUGGAGGCUCCAUCUCAUCACUCAAACGCACCUUUAAAUAUGCCUCCUUCUAUGAGGCUUGGAACUGCUUCUCAUAAUGCUCCUCCAUUUCAUGAUUUAAGAGCACCUUUAGUAGAUGACUCAGCGAAGAAGGACACAAGAAUUUCUUCCAAUGCAGAAAUAGAGAAGUUCACUUUGAAAGAUGAUUGUGCAAUUAAGUCAGAAAAAAUUACUGACCAAAGAGCGCUGAAGUUGAGAAUCAAAGUGAAAUCAGAUAUCUUAGGAAAAAAGAAUGCUGCAAUUUAUAGUGGACUUGGACUUGAUAACUCUCCAUCAUCAUCAAUGGGGAACAGCCCUGAGGAGAGUGAAGUCAUGCCACCUAUAUCUAAAGAGAACCCUGAAGAAUCUCCAACUAGCAUUGUUCGGGUUAUGACAUCCUUCACUAUCCCUGGCGGUGUGCUAAUAUCACCUCUACAUGACAGUCUGCUCUACUUGAAAAAGGAAAAGGUUCUAAGAGACAGCAGACCUAUGUCUUCUCUUAGUGGUCAUCAAGAACAUUGUUCCAUGUCUACUGAUGAAUCAGAUUCUUUUGCGGGGAACAGAGAUUUGUUGAAGAAGAGGAGAGUGGGAAUGGUGGCCCAAAAUGAAAAACAGUAUAUUAAUGGCAACUGUUCCAAGAAUGAUAUGACAUUGCAACAAAAGAAAAUAUUCGGAAAUAGAACUCCAGAUGGUAAGGACUUUCUCUCUACGGACUUGAAAUCCACACCUCUGUCAAGUUCAAUUUGUGAUGCUGGUGAAGCUGCUGAAGUUACUGGUAAGGGUUUUAAAAUAUCCAAGAAGGUCAAUAAGGAUGGAGUGGAAGGCAGAAGGGUUUCCGUUGAAGCUGUGAAGGAGGAUUCACUGGAGUCAAUAUCUGGUCAGGAUUUUGGCAAGAUCGGAAGGCAAAAUACAGGAAAUAGUGUUUUGAAAAAAGUUUCAGAGCAUAAGCCAGAAAUUUGCCAGAAUAAUAAUGCUUCUGAUCUUAUGAAUAAUCGCAAGUACAAUGCUUUGAUGAUUUCAGAAAAGGCUGAGUGUGAUCAGAAAGGAAGGGCAAAAUCUGAGGGCAAGAAUAAGUCAAAAGGUGAAUGGAGUCCUGGAAAAGCUAUGACCGCCACAGAAAAAGAUAGCAUUGGGGCUACUAAUAAUUCGGUGAUUACUGAUAAAAAGAGUGCUGAUAUUGGUGUUACUGGUAAAAAUAAAAUGCUUAAAAUAAAGGCAUUGAAGGAUAAUAAGACCAGAGAUUCUUUGAAAGAAAAAAAACCAGAGCGGGAAGUUGUUGGAAUAGACCGAGCUCCUAUUAGUAAGGCUAAAAUAAAUGCUAACCUUGAUAACAUUGAAGGAAAGAGCACACAUAGGGUUAAAGUAAAGGGAAACUCAAGUGAAAAUAAAGUGGUUAAUCAGUUAUUAGCUGGUCCAGGUGUAGAAGAUGCUCCAGGAGCGUAUCCUAUUGCUGAAAAUAUAUCAACUCCUGAGAUGGUUCCACCGCCACCCCCUGCAGCACCUCAAAUUAUUGAAGAAAAUUGGGUAUGUUGUGACGAGUGCGAGACAUGGCGGCUUCUGCCUAUGGGUUUAAAGCCAGAGCAGCUUCCAGAGAAAUGGCUGUGUAGCAUGCUAAAUUGGCUGCCUGGAAUGAACCGAUGUGACAUCAGCGAGGAGGAGACAACAAAUGCACUUUAUGCUUUAUAUCAAAUUCCAAUUUCUGAGGGUCAAAAUAACAUGCAGAGCAAUCCUACUAGACCUGAAACUGGAGUGAGCUCUGCUGAUGCUAUGCAAUUUGACCUGAAUCACAAAAUAUCCAGUUCUGAUGGAAUGUCUGCCCGAGGAAAGAAGAAACUAGGUAUCAAGAAAAAGACUACGUCAGAAAUAAGCAGUGACAUGCAUCAGUUGUCAAAUACAGGAAAGAACAAUGCUCAAGAAUCUGGAAAAAAUAAAAGCUUGAUUGAUGUCAAUCAGCAGCUUGCAGGCUCAAAUCUUUUGAAGAAAUCUAGUUCUAAAGAUUCAAAUGGGUUGAAAAAAUCGAUAGAAGAGAAAAACACCCCUGAAGAGAAAGAAGAGCAAUUGAAUGGAGGUGACAGAAGUCAUGUUAAAUUGAAACGUAAGGUGAUGACUGAUCAAUAUAGUUUUGGGACCCCGAAGAAAUCUCGGUCCGAAGUUGUUCACUCUGCUGAUAAACAACUGAAUCCUGACAUGGACUUUGAGAAGGUGGGUCUAAAUUCAAGGAGUUGUUUGCCGGAAAAGGCUGGUGGGAAGAAUAUGAGGGAGCAUGAUGAAUAUUGUUUAUCCAAGGAUGUACUGAACAAGUCAGUAGUUCCUCUAAAGAAAGGAGACCAGGCACAGUUCUCAUCAGAUGAUGGGUCAUUGGAUGUAACAAACAGUGGUAAAAAUGGUUCAAAUAAGAAAAGGAAAUCUAAUGACUGGCUUGAUAAUAAGAAAUGUAACAACCCAUUGUCCGUGCAAGGUGAUAUGGGAUCUGGUGAAGAGAGCAAUGCAAGUGGAUUUAGGAAAGAAAAGAAGCGUAGAGUUCUGAAUCCUGAGGAAAAAUCAAUAGCUGAAGGUGAUGAUAUAUUGAGUAGAAGAGGUGGGAUGAAGCAAAUCUUCUUAUCAGACAGCAGGGACCAAAUGGUUGUUGGGACACAGGUGAAAAAUGUUGAUAAGUCCAAACAGCCGAGGAAGCUGAGAAAAAGUGUUGCUUCUUACGAAGAUUUCGGUUGUUUUGAUUCACCAGGCAAGGAUUUGGACUCCGGACAACUUCCAUUGGCAGCAACUUCAAGCACUUCUAAGAUUUCAGGAUCUCAUAAAGCUCGAAACAACCUUGCAGGUGCAAGAGGCUCACCGGUAGAAUCUGUUACCUCUUCACCUUUGAGGACCUCCAACCUGGACAGGCGUAUUUUGGCAGCAGGGAACACAUCAGAAAAAGUUGAUUCUACAAAAGGUGCCCCCUCUUCAAUGACUUCCGGAAGAAGUUCGGGUAAUAUGGUUGGAAAGCUAUCAGUAAAAAUGAAGGGGAGAAAGUUAUAUGACCUACCUACACAACAUGGUAAUUGGGGGAAUGGUUCACUUCAUGAGGAUAAAAUGAACAAGAAUGAUCAAGAAAAUGCUUCUUGGCAGAAACCCGGAAAGAUUACAUCAUUACAGGGUAAGGAAAAGAACAGAAGGUCUGGUUCUGAGGUUAGAAGGGAUAAGAUGAAUAUGUCAGCUUCAGAAAAUGGUUUUUCCAAAAAGGGGGUAAACUAUGAGUCAGCAGUAGCACUUACUCCUAGUCAUUGCGCUUCUGGUACUGAGACUAGAAAUGAUGCUAAAAUUAGCUCUUCUGAUUCUAGACUCAAGAAAGUUGGCAACCUUAGUAAGAAAAAUUCUUCAAGGCAUUGGUCAAAUGAAGCUGGAAAGCAAACUGAACCAAAACAAAAAGAUUUGGAAAAUUCAGUUCUGAAAGUGGGCGCUCAAAGUGGCACUAGUGAAAAGAUUAUCUCCCAGCAGAACCAGAUUCAUAACACUGAGGAAGAAAACAAAGCUAUUACAGUACACACUGGAUCAAGAGAUGGGAAAGCCAAAAUUCUCUCAUCUUUGGAGAAUAUAGCAAAAAUGGAAACAUCAUAUGUGGAUUCUAGGACUGCAACUGAGUCCCAAAAGGGAGAUAUGUCUAAUGGGAAUCCAGUCCAUGCAAGAAAUUCUGCUGGUGUCAGUUGCAAGGUUGGAGUCAAUCGUAGUUCGGGAAAUUCCACACUUGAUGCCCAACUCACUGAGUCAAGUCCUGUGACAACAAAUUCUAGCCAAACUGCAUUUAGCAUUCUGGAAGAAGCCAGAAAGCUAAAAGAUUCUGCGGAUCAUUAUAAGAACACUGGGUUUGAGUUUGAAAGUAAUGAAACUUAUUUUAAAGCUGCUUUGAAGUUUCUGCAUGGAUCAUCACUUGUAGAAAAUUGUCACAGCGAGAGUAGCAAGCUUGGGGAGGUGGAUCAAAUACAAAUAUAUGCUACUGCCGCUAAACUUUUUGAAUCCUGUGCUCAUAAAUAUGACAGAUGCCAAGAAAUGGUCUCAGCUGCUUUGGCAUACAAAUGCAUGGAGGUGGCAUACCUGAGACUUGUUUACUGUAAACAUUCUAGCAUAAACAGGGAUCGGCAUGAGUUGCAAUCAGCUUUACAAAUGGUUUCUCAAGGUGAAUCUCCUUCAUCUUCUGCAUCUGAUAUUGAUAACUUAAACAACAUGGUGGCAGUGGAUAAAGCUACUUUGCCAAGGGGUCCUAACACUCAUGUUGCUAAUAAUCAUGUUAUAUCUGCUCGGAAUCGGCCAAAUAUUGGCAGGCUUCUUGAUUUUACCCAGGACAUUAACUUUGCAAUGGAGGCUUCUAGAAAAUGUCAGAGCACUUUCAUGGCUGCUAAGUUGAUCAUGGAAGAGGCUCGGAAUAGUGAUUGUAUGACUUCUAUUAGGAAUGUUAUUGAUUUCAGCUUCCAAGACGUAGAGGAGUUUGUACAUCUGGUUCUGAUUGCAACAAAAGCAAUAACUCGUGCUGGUCUAGGUGGUACUAGAGAUUAGCUCAAUACUGUAUAUAAUUUCUUCUUCUUCGCAUCCGGAAGCAAGUGGCUAAAGGAUAUCUACCUAUGCUGGCACUCGGAAACCUGUAAAGAAGGAUGCCCAGAACAGAGUCGUUGGUUCCAACGUGAUGAACUUGCAAGGAGAAGUAGCAAGGCCAAAUCAUGCAGAAGACUAUGCUUUGCUCUGGCUUUAGUGACCCCCUUCACUUGCUGACUUGGUAAUCUUAUCUUUCGAUUGUGUCAGUGGUCUGAGUUGACUUGGAUAUUCUGUGCGUGCAGCGCGGGCGCAUUGCAAGGAAUAUUAGCUGUGAGAAUUCCACCAUCCCUUUUUGUCACUUACAGCAAUGAAGCUUAAUGUGUCAUUGAGAUAGUAAUUCACUGGAUAGAAGAUAUGGAGUAUAGAUCCGUGAGUCGUGUGCGUAUAUUAUACAAUCAUGCAGUGUCCAACACUCUCAUGGCUUUUUCAAAGUGGCUUCAAACGCGUUAGACUCAUCAGCUACUGAACUAAAGAAUAUAUCAGCACUUGUUUAGCUUAUCAUGUUCUAUAUACCCAUUGUAUGUAAUUAGAGUAAUGUAAUAUCCUCCUACAAAUCCUUUUAGUACUAUAGAAAGAAAUAUGACAUCUUCGAAGUAUAAAAAGCAUUUAUUAUGUAUGAGUAUUUGUAAGAGGAUCAAGUAUGAGUAUUUACAAUUAUUCAUGUUCUGAUACUCGCGCCUGAAGGGCACGUAACUAGAUGUGGGAAUAAGUUCCAGUGCGAUAACUUCCCUUGCCUUUUCAUGUUUCCUUUUAUCUGGCUGGGGAAUUUAAUCAUUAACAAUUUGAAUUUAUGUAAACUUAAAUUGAUAUUUGCUUUCCUUCGAAGUU